rnacentral:rRNA from 1 species
GGGCAAUUUGUACAUAUUUUAAAAUUUAAUUCAAUUUAUUUAAUUAAAUAAAUUUACUAUUAAAUCCUAUUUAAUUAAAAUUUUAAAAUUUUAAUUCCAAAAUUAAAAUAAAUGUAAUUCAUUAAAUUCUUAAUUAAUUAAAUAUUGAUCUGAAAUAAAAUUUUAAGAAAUUAUUAAAAAAUUAAAAUUUAAUAAAAAUAUUUUUAUAACGAACAUACAUAAAUAUAUAAUUUCAAGUAAAUCUUUUCGUGGAUUAUCAAAUUAAAUAACAAAUUCCUCUAAAUAAAUUAAAAUACCGCCAUAAAUUUUAAAUUUAAAAAUUAAAUUUAAUAAUUUAAUAAAAAUUUUUAAUUUUAAUAAUAGGGUAUCUAAUCCUAGUUUA